UCCUUUGUAUACUUCAUCUUC
rnacentral:piRNA from 1 species